rnacentral:rRNA from 1 species
GUCGAGAAUAUUCGACAAUGGGCGAAAGCCUGAUCGAGCGACGCCGCGUGCGGGAAGACGGCCUUCGGGUUGUAAACCGCUUUUGCGUGGGAAGAAUUUUGACGGUACCACGAGAAUAAGGGGUUGCUAACUCUGUGCCAGCAGCAGCGGUAAUACAGAGACCCCGAGCAUUAUCCGGAAUUACUGGGCGUAAAGCGUGAGUCACCGGUCGUGUUAGUCUGAUGUAAAACCAUGGGGCCCAACUUCAUGUCUGCAUCGGAAACGGCACGACUCGAGCGGAUGAGAGGAGAGCAGAACGUAUGGUGUAGGGGUGAAAUCCACUGAUAUCAUACGGAAUACCAAAAGCGAAGGCAGCUCUCUAGCGUCUUGCUGACGGUCAAUCACGAAAGCGUGGGGAUCAAAAAGGAUUAGAUACCCGGGUAGUCC